UUUCCGUGGGUGAACCUGCGGAAGGAUCAUUAAUGAGUUGUCAUGGGGUUCGAUGCUGGCAGCCAAUUUUUGGAUGCAUGUGCUUGCCCUAACAAUCAUCUUCCAAACACCUGUGCACAUUUUUGAGGGAGUCUUGAGUUGGUUGCCGCUCUUGGGUGAUUUUCUCACAUUCCCUUAAAUCAUUAUACGCUAUUAACAAUGUUGAACGUGCUCUGUGCCGCAAGGCUAUUAAUAUAAUACAACUUUUAACAACGGAUCUCUUGGCUCUC
rnacentral:misc_RNA from 1 species